rnacentral:rRNA from 1 species
GUCGGGAGUCUUGCACAAUGGGGGAAACCCUGAUGCAGCGACGUCGCGUGUGGGAUGAAGUAUUUCGGUAUGUAAACCACUUUUGCGGGGGGCGAAAAAAAUGACGGUACCCCGCGAAUAAGCCCCGGCUAACUACGUGCCAGCAGCCGCGGUAAUACGUAGGGGGCGAGCGUUGCUCGGAUUGACUGGGCGUAAAGCGCGCGUAGGCGGUCCAUUAAGUGUGCGGUGAAAUUCAGAGGCUCAACCUCUGUCCCGCCGCGCAAACUGGUGGUCUUGAGAUUGGGAGGGGGAUGCGGAAUUCCUGGUGUAGCGGUGAAAUGCAUUGAUAUCAGGAGGAACACCGGCGGCGAAAGCGGCAUCCUGGCUUAUAUCUGACGCUGAGGCGCGAAAGCGUGGGUAGCAAACGGGAUUAGAUACCCGAGUAGUCC